rnacentral:lncRNA from 1 species
AUUAGUAAUUGGGAUGGAAUGAACGCAUGGCAGAUUAACAUUAGAUCACAUUCAGGAAAAGAUCUGAUAUUGGUAAUAGCUCACUGGAUGUUUGUCUAAUACUCUUCUUUAAUAUGUUUCCUCAACAAUUUAAUUCAAUAGAAAACAUGUAAUAACAUUAUAAAAAGAACUGUCUUUGUAAGUGACCUUGGAUAAGUUAAUGAAGCUACCCCUGUUUUAGUUUCCUCAUGGAUGUAAGAGGAUAAGGGCAGGAUUUUCACAGCUUUGUUGUGAUUGUUGGGUGGACCUAACUUCCAUUCACAAAUUAUCUAACACAAUAAAAAAAAUUUCAACAGUAUUCAUUAAUAAUCAGUGGAGGCCACUAGGAUCUCUCACAGCUUUUGCAGAAUUGCUUGCUUUGUUCAAUAUGUGUAUGCCAACUGAUGUUUUCUUAACUAGUGUGAAACCAAUUACCUGAAACUGACAUACUUCUUGAUAUUAUUGUAAUUAUAUUGUCAUUGUAUGAGUCUAUGAAUGUCAUAAAUUUUUGUUGCUAAUAAUUAUAAGGCAAAAGUGUUGGAACUUUCAAGUCAAAUCAUUAUGUUAGUAUGAUUAUGAUUAUUCUCCUGUGAGAUAGCUCGUCCCCACUCAUCAGUUAUAACACCAGUCCCUCUUUCCCCACCUUACCACAAAAUUAGAAGAAACAGUAGGCUUUUAAAUAACUUCCCUUCCACCGUGUCUUGCUCCCACCUUCCUGCCUUUCAUCCUCCAAGUCUACCUCCACGCCUUCAUGCCUUUCAUUCUUUUUUGUACAAAGGGAUAGACUCAGAGCCUCACAUGUUCUAAAUAUAAACUUUCCAGCUAGUCUACAAUCCAGCCCAGGCUUGAAGCUUAAAUCAAGACAGAAUGCAAAUUAAUAAAAACUAAGUUUUUUUUUUUCAUUAAUCUUAAAUCAAUGUGGCAAGUUCCUCAUUAUAAUAUUUUCUUCUUUUAGCCAAAGCAUGGCAAUGACUUCUUUUCCUUCAUGAAGCAACCUCUCUGUAAAUUAAACUUUAAUAUUUAUAGUGCAAUAUUUGAUAGAUUUCUGAAACCUUUCAAGGAAAUACAUUGGCUUUCUUUUCAAUUUUUUUGAAAUAUAUUGACUUUUCUUUCCUCAAUUGAUCCCUGACUGUUGAAGUCCUUCAUGGUUUGUCCUAGUUUGAGACGUUUAUUAUAACCAACCUCUGAUGCGAUUCUUCUAUAAGGACCAACUCUAUGUUGAAGACCCCAAAUUUAUUCAUAUAUAGGUUGUUUUGUUGGAUCUCUAGCCUCAUAAAUCUUCCUGAUAGUUCAGUUUGAUGGCUCAUAUUUUAGUAUGUUAAAUUAUUCAAUAUUUUAAAAUAUAUAAAAUGUUUUACCCACUCACCCCUGCAAGUCUACUUUUCUGUUCGUCUUCCCAUCAGUAAACACUGCUUCUUUAUUUUCAGAGACCUGAGAAAGGACGCUCAGUUGUUCUCAUCCAUUGCUCUUUAGCAGCUCUUCAUCAGCUUCUGAUAAUUAUAUCUUUUAACAUGUUCGAAAUAACACCACUUUUAUUACAUUUCUGCCUUCUACUUUAUGACAGUCACUUGAUUUUCUGUUUCUUCUUCCUUAUCUAGAAUGUAAGCCUGUUUGGGGCAAGAAUUUGAUAUUGUAUAACUGUUGUUUUUCAAGUUCACAUAUCACUGCCUGAAUCUAGUUAGAUAAUAGAAGAUGUUUGUGAAAUUAACACAUUGAUUAAUUGCCCCUGGAAGAAAUUCUUCAGUAGUCACUGGUAUCUUGUAUUUUGAUAGUUUGCAGUUGUCUCAGGAGGAAGUCAGACAACUCUGUUCAUUGAAUUUAACUCCAUUUAAUGUGAAUUCUAAUGACCAUUCGAUUAAAAUUUUCUAGAGCUUUGAUACUUUAGUGUAUUUUGACAUACUGGUUCUUGUAUAAGUGGAAGCAGCAUUGCAAAGGCCAUGGGUACUUAAAAAUAAAGUCAAAAUGAAUGAUAUCUGGUGGUAAAAUUCUUUGUGUACAAAUGACGACUAUGAAAUCAUUCUUUUUGGUCUUUAUUUCAAAGCCAGAAUAUAUAAUAGAUGCUUACCAAAUAGCUUCCAUUUUCAUUUUUAUUUAUUAAAAUUUCUUCUAUGAGAUUUCCAUUAUGUGAUUUGCUCCCACUCUCAACUCUAUCCAAUCUACUUCCUACUACAUAUCCACCUGGUUUCAUGUCAUAUAUAUAUAUAUAUUAAGAUGUAUUUCUACUUCUCAAAUAUCCUUGGAUGUAUGUUCUUUCACUGGAAAGUGGUUUACUUACCAAGGCCUACACUUUCUGAGAAAAUUAUCUUUCCCUCUCCUGGCAUUUAAGUUGACAGCUACAGUUGGGACUGUGUGGUCAAUUCAACUCUCCAGGUUGGAAAUUGGUCUGAAUUGGACUUGCACAGGUUUACGCACAAACAAAAAGUUGCGAAUUCAUCCGUGAAGCUCCAUUGCUUUGUCUAGGAGAUGCUCUGUAGUCAUCUAUUGCAUUUGACUCUUAGGUUCUUUCCACCCCCUUUUCUGCAGUGAUCUCAGAGGUUUGCAGGAGGUGGUGUGGUUGAGGAGGUGUCUUCCAUUUGGAAUGAAUGACCUGCAGUUUCUUAUUCUCCCCACCUUGGCCAAUUGUAGGUCACUAUGUUGAUCACCAUCUUCUCAGAUGAGGACUGAAAGAUGAUCUGGUCUAUGUGUGUGAUAAGCCAUGAGGAGUUGUUUUAAAACUCUGUUCCUUUAGCAGCAUACUGUCAGUGUUUUUCUAUCUUUAUCAGCACAUGUCUAAUGAGUGUCAUGAAUCAUCAUGACUAUUUUAACACUCCUCUCAUUUUUGAAAGUUAAUAAUUUGGAAUCAAGAAAAAAAAUUUUAACAACUGUAUUUAGUAGAUUUUUUUGCUUUUUAUUCAUUAAAUAAUUUCAAAAUUAAGCAAGCUUCUUCAGAAAUGCUACUUUUUAAAUUUUAAUUUUUUGAUUAAAGAUGAUUUUAAGACAUGCUCAGCUUGGUUUAACUGGUAAAACAUUUAAAAAUUAAGUUUUGUGAAACUGAAGAAAUGAAUAUCAUCACUUUCAUUCUGUAAUAAAAAUGGACUCUGCACAUGCUUUAAUUUACAUUUAUUAAAGAAAAAGUUUCAUCUGGCAGCAUGGAUACCAAAAUGUAAAAAUAUCACUCAAGUUCUGUAAAAGGAAGAUUUCACAUGUUGGUUUGCAGAAUAUGAAUUUUACAAUACUGUCUUUGAAAGAUGAAACUGAAGGAAAAUCAGAGUAAUGCACACUUUUAAAUGCUGGAAUAACCUUACUCUGCUGUGUCUGUAGAACCCACCCUAUUAAUAACGUACAUUGUCAUAUAAAAUUAUGACAUUUUGUUAGCUUUCAUGUGAUACAGCCAUUCAAAUUCAUUAUCUUUUGUGCAAAUAAAUAGCUUCUAAAAUUAACAAUG